UUAAUUAUUAUUCUCUUUGCGUACCAAGUGUGAAUGCUCUGGUGCCUAAAAAAAAGGGGGAAAAAAGGCCCAGUGCGCAUGAUCUGAUGGAAAACAGGCCCAUAGCCAAACAUGGCAGCCUCCAUGAACUGGCUUCAUGCGCCACUGAGCUGCUCCCAUAGGACUCAAUGGAACCGGUCUGCUCGCGUCACGGAACGGUGAAGUGGCAUGGGUACAGAAAUACGGACACGGUGGAGAAUCCAAAAUAUGAAGGAAAUCACCUGAUGACCUGGGGGAUCACAGGGGUUAUGGUCAGUAGUCGUGAUCUUGGCAGUGAUCAGACUCGAUCUGCCUCUUUAGCCAGGAGUGGAAGGGGCUCCCCCACCUCCACUGCCCACCUUAUACUGCACGGACAUUUAAUAAUAACGUUUGUUUACAAAGUUUUUGUCAUCAAUGGUGUUUAUUGUUGACUAUGUAUAGGAUCUUAAAAUCGGAAUGCAUAUUUGUCUUUUGUAUAGUUGUGAACCACCUCAAAAUGAAAUUAGAAUUUCUUCUUUUUUUUUUUAAGUGGAUUUCAUUUGAAGCUAACUACUGCAGCUAUUAUCCCUGAGUGACAGCUCAUCGUGUGGACGGGUUAUAAAUGUUUGCGCACCUGUGUGUGUUCAUACUUUCAUGAGGUCUUUCAUGAGUACAGCGCAAGCACUUUCAACAAAUAUUAUCUGACAUUUGCAGUCGAUAAAACGUCCUGAGUUUUUAAUUUAUUGCCCCACUUUUUAUUUGCUUGUUCUUGGUA